GACCACUUGAUGCCUCAGUGUGCCUGACAGAAGCAGCACAUCAAUAUUGGCAGCUGCCCUCUCUCUGGGUUGCCAGUAUGGUUUGUGCUGCUCCCGUCAGACAGACACACUCAGCGAUCCUCCAG
rnacentral:precursor_RNA from 8 species